GCGGGACUGAAACUGAAAUGAACAAGGCGCGGCCACGAACCCCUUCACACGUGCAGACAAAGAAACCCAACAUAACCAAAAUAUGCCGAAGUUAUUCGGAGUUGGUGCGUCAGCUGACAAAGUUGAGCACAAAGAGGAGAGGAGCGUUCCUUUGUUCUGAGGAGUGCUUUGGGAUAUCAUGCGUAGACAUCCCUAGUUAUCUUGUACCUAAACUGGCUAACGUUGAAGGCAACUGAACAGACGUGGGAAACUUGUAUUUACAUGCAUUGGACUCAACCCCUUGGUGAUUCAUUUUGUAAGAAGACACGCCAUUAGUGAAACUUUCUGUUGCGGAUUCAUGGACUGCGUCAUACCUUGAGAGACCCAUAUUUUGACAUUUUCCCUGUUACUUUUGGGGUUCGCUUCUUUCAACAACAUCAUUGGAUUAUGAAAUUGUAUGCGGGACAAAACAGAAACGGCAAAAACGUGGAGUAGCAGCGAAAAUCCAUCAAGACGGAGGGGGGCCGCGGCGCGAACGUGGAAACGUGAAUGGGUGGAUGACGCUUGUGAGUGGUGGGACGGGAGCCGUCAAAACAGGAAAGCUCGCAAACAGCUGGCCGUAUCUAAAAAAGCCCUGACACAUCUUCAGGGGCUUUUAAUUGCAAGCCGCCGCCUCCCUCGCUCCACAUGUUUUCUGGGGCAUCCGGCCUUGCAACCCCUCUCUGUGAUGAGGAUCAAAGUGGCGGAGGCGUGACUUAAAACCCUGCUCCUUCCUUCCCUUUCUUCCUUUUUUGGACAGGGCCUGGGACUGCAUUUUGAAGAGAAGUCCUGCUGUAUAUCCCUUUUCCCCUUUUAUAUAUCUAUGUUCUCCACAUGCAGUUAGUCUAAUAGUGGGGCAAAUAAUGUGAUACUGAACAUCACUAUAUAAUCAGGACUUGUUUUUAAAGAUCCUUUUUAGCAGGGACACCAGUUAAAAAAUAACCAAUUCUGCUUUACUGAGAGGUUUCAUGCAUUAUUUGUGCUUGCUUGAAAGAUAUUCUUAUGCAGGAUAAUUUGCUCAUCUUAUAUUUAUAUAUUUUUAAAUCCAGAUAUACUGGUGGGUUUUACUGGUAGUACUGAAGCUGAAAGAAAAUCGGAAACAUUGUUAUGUUUUUGUGGUGUUCAUUAAGUAUACAAUUGAGCUCUCAAGUUCAUCUUUCAAGUCUAGAACCUGACCUUCCUGCUGUAGAUGAUGAUGCAAGCAGACUUUACUAGCAACCCAAGCUUUCCUUUUCAGUGAAUGAGUGAUAUAAAACUACCUCUAUACUGAAAGGUAGAGCAGACCAUUUCCCCACAAGAUUUGUCUCUAGUCCCAUUCUAUAUAUAUUACAUAUACAUACGCUAGUUGCAUGUAUAUCUAAUAUCUAGCCUUGGGCUUCCCCCUCACUGUACACUGCCUGUUUAAAAUACACAAAAUAAUGUGACCUAGUUACAUGGGUGCUCGCUCUACGUCUGGGUGUCUUACCAAAAAGCAGGGAUUUACUGUACUUUUUUUUUACGGAGGAAGGUUGGGUUAGGUAAAGCAGAGUGUGUGUCCUGAGCACGCUGGGUCUUUCUGGGUGGCACUGCUUUGUGAGAAGGGCGGCAUUAUCUUUCGUGUUUACCUCAGCGAGAGGAACUGCUUGUCAGAGCUCUCUGCCAGCACGGAAGACGGGGACCGGAGGAGAAGCCCCGGGUUCCGUGGCCCGAGUCCCCCGCUUCCUCCCUCACGGAGACAUAUGCGCUCCUGUUGACAUGGAUUAGCGGGGGAGAUGCUAUCAGGCCACACAUGGAACAAGGUCUUUACUGUCCACAGUGAGCCAGGGAAGGGAAGAGGGCUUUAUCUGUUUGUUUUCCUCUUCCCUUCCCUAUUUUAAAGAUCCGUGGCUGUGGCAUGAGUACAACUCUGUGUGGUUUCGUGGUAUCGUGAUACUGUGGAAACUAUGGCAACCACAUGCUGCAGGUUUGCUUGGUUCAGUGGGUGUCAGUGCAUGUAUGUGUAAAAGAGAAAAAGAAAAAAAAAAGAAGAGAAGAGAUAUCCGCUGAAGCUUUAAAAUAACGUUGCCCGAUCCUGAGGUCCUUUCAAUUACUCUAGGAAAGAUGAGGAAAUAAAUUUCAUUCAUGGGACAGCACCACGAGGAGAUAUGGACGAGAGAAAGGAUGCAGAGAGGAACAGUGCCACUCACUGGCAUGAUGGAGGCUUCUACAGCCACUUCUGAUUCAAUUAGUCUGGCUAUUCAUGGCUUAAUGAGGAACCCAUAGCAUGCCGCAUGUGCUAAUUCACUGACUAAUCACCUAAUUGUUCUUAGCAAUUGGAGGUAAUUUAGUUAGAGGCUUUUGUUUUUGCUGUCUUUUGUGUGAGCACAGUGCACAAUGUAUGUAUCUUAGGGAGAGAAAAAUGGAAAUAGAAACCAGUCCUGGAGUGGUGGCUAAUAUAUGUGUAAUAGCACUACACAUGUGCUGUGGGAAGCAUUAUGAACAUUGUCACGUUUAUAUUUUCAUUAUAUUUGCUGUGGGGUUAGCUGUAACGUAACACACACACACACACACUGUUCCUGCUGACCUGUCAAGUUUUUUACUCGUUUUGUACUCCCAGCAUUUGCAAGGCCAUACAUUACUCUGAGAAGGUCUGGUUGUCCUUGUCUUAAGUAUUGGUAAGGAAGCAGGCAUGUACUGACAAUGUAUCUAAUCAACAAAUUGUUUUAAAUCACUUGAGUAUAAAUAAUUGGAUCAUAACAAAAAGCGAAACAGUGGCAACCAUAUCAAGGAUGAUGCAACAUGUUGAAAAUAUGAACUGUUCUUUACAGUAGUUAACUUAAUUUAUAAUAAACUGGCAUGACUUACUGGGUGAUGCAAUGUAAUGUGAAAGUACAUUAUGAACCCAAUGCAAAAUGACAUUAAAUGCAUUAUGCAUUUAUACCACAGACUGCUGUAUCUAUGAUGUCUUACAGAACUGACAUUCAUGACAUUAUUAAUUUAUACAAAUGUAUUAUGUGGGGGGGGGGGGGGGGGGGGGGUUGGCUUUAUUUCUGCCUGUAAGGGGAUGUUGUUGGGGAGGGAUGCAGCAUGCAUACAUUUCCACCAAUGAUUAGGGGGAAGGCAGCAUGGCUAAUGUUUUACUGACCAACUGCUGCUUGUCCCCAAGGCCUGUGUUAAUCUGGAUGGCUUUGGUUCACCGCUGUUAUGCCGUGCAUGGCUACUGUACAUGAGUGUAACAGAAUUAAAUGUGCGCGCUGAUCUGCUGUAUCAUGUCCGGUGGGUGGCCCAGAGCUCUGCUUGACUGCUUUUGUUCUAAGAAAUUAUGUCAUGUAAAAAGCAAGCCGUUUGGGGGGAGGGGUGAUAAAAGACCUUGGACUCUAAUCCAGUAGCUUGCUGGUUCAGUUCCCAGGCAGGGAACUUGGUUUUUAUUCAGCUGUAUAAAUUAGUAAUAUGUACAUUUUACACAUGUAAAUUGCUCUGCAUAAGGAUGUCUACUAUGCAUAUUAGCACCAAAUAACAUAAGCCCUUAUCAUGGGAAAUUUAGAAUUUUAAUGUUUCAUGAUGGUGCGGCUAAGGGCCAGACUGCAAGGUAAAUGGAGGAUCAAGCUGUAGUGAACAGCUGUGUGUUUCAAAGGCUCUUGGGUGUGUCUACCUGCUGUUUUUCUAUGGCCCCUCAUGUAUUUCUUACUGAACUGCACUACAAUGACAAGUAUUCAUGCUGCAUAUCAACGUAAAAUGAAUGUAUUUAUUUAUUUAUUUAUUUAUUUAUUUAUUUAAAUAAAAAAUGAAAGUUGCA